UACGUAGGUGGCAAGCGUUGUCCGGAUUUACUGGGCGUAAAGAGCGCGCAGGCGGUCGGAUCAGUCGAAUGUGAAAGCUCCCGGCUCAACUGGGGAGGGUCAUUCGAUACUGUCCGACUCGAAGGCAGGAGAGGGAAGCGGAAUUCCCGGUGUAGUGGUGAAAUGCGUAGAUAUUCGCAAGAACACCAGUGGCGAAGGCGGCUCACUGGCCCGAUACUGACGCUGAGGCACGAAAGCGUGGGGAGCAAACAGG
rnacentral:rRNA from 1 species